UUCCGGUUGAUCCUGCCGGACCUCACUGCUAUCGGGGUGGGACUAAAACAUGCGAGUCGAGCGCCUUCAAGCUAUGGAGGAGGCGCGGCGUACGGCUCAGUAACACGUGGCUAACCUACCCUUUGGACGGGGACAACCACGGGAAACUGUGGCUAAUCCCCGAUAGAUGAGGAGGCCUGGAAUGGUUUCUUAUCUAAAAGGUGUUUAGACCAUGCUUCUAGACGUCGCCAAAGGAUGGGGCCGCGGCCGAUCAGGUUGUUGGUGAGGUAACGGCUCACCAAGCCUAUAACCGGUACGGGCCGUGAGAGCGGGAGCCCGGAGAUGGGCACUGAGACAAGGGCCCAGGCCCUACGGGGCGCAGCAGUUGCGAAAACUCCGCAAUACGCGAAAGCGUGACGGGGCUACCCCGAGUGCCGUCCGCUGAGGACAGCUUUUCCACGGUGUAAGGAGCCGUGGGAAUAAGGAGAGGGCAAGACUGGUGUCAGCCGCCGCGGUAAUACCAGCUCUCCGAGUGGUAGGGACGAUUAUUUGGCCUAAAGCGUUCGUAGCCGGCCUGGCAAGUCCCUCGUUAAAUCCAGCGACCUAAUCGCUGGGCUGCGGGGGAUACUGUUGGGCUUGGGAGCGGGAGAGGCCGACGGUAUUCUCGGGGUAGGAGUGAAAUCCUGUAAUCCCGGGAGGACCACCAGUGGCGAAGGCUGUCGGCUAGAACGCGUCCGACGGUGAGGGACGAAAGCUGGGGGAGCGAACCGGAUUAGAUACCCGGGUAGUCCCAGCUGUAAACUAUGCGGGCUAGGUGGUCGGUGUGGCUACGAGCCACUCCGGGUGCCGCAGGGAAGCUCAUAAGCUCGCCGCCUGGGAAGUACGGUCGCAAGGCUGAAACUUAAAGAAUUGGCGGGGAGCAUCACCAGGGUGAAGCUGCGUUCAUUGGAAUCAACGCGGU
rnacentral:rRNA from 1 species